CCCCGGCGAGGGCGAGGGCGAGGGCGCGGGGGCCCGCAGCAGCCAGGCCGCGGUGGUGUCGAGCUCCGCGGGAAGGCGGCAGGAGCAGGUCGACGGCCGGCAGGCAGGACAGGCCAGGAGCGGUGGGGAAGGAGCGCGGCCGAGGGAGAAGGGGAAGCGAGAGGCUCGGAGGCCCUCCGCCCCGCCGACUCCCCUGGAAGUUCACUCCCGCGCGGGGGGCGCGCCGCAACGGAGCGCAUUAGCCCGGUCCAGGUUAUUCCGGAGGAAUGAGGUUUAGUUAAUAGACCGAAGGGACGGCCCUGAGCUGAGCUGCGGCGUGUGACUUCGGGGUGGGAAGAAAGAAAAAACCCAGUCUUAAUUUACAGACAAAGCCGGGCAGGCUCGUCCCCUUCUGCAGCCAUAAAAUAUCCCACCGGGUGCCCUUGGCCAGACUGAGACACGCUUUUUCGUGAUGGGCUCCUCCACCUCCUUCCUUUCAAGAGCCACUUUCAGGACACCUUGCAACAGAGUGAGGACCUACCUGCCGGUGCCCUGUCCUGCCCACCUAGCAGCCAGCAGAAGACAGCUGCAGCUGCUGUUCCCUUGGAAAAGCUGCAUGAAGAGGGAAGUGAAUCUGGCCUCUCUACCACUGGGAUCAUGGGUGACUUGGUGA
rnacentral:lncRNA from 1 species